UUCAGUUUCAUCCAAUGUCAGUAAUUUUUCAAAUACUGCUUCUCCUGAGUGUCCAGAAGCUGAUGUGGAAGCUAAAACUAUUGAUGAGAAGAAUAGUUCGUGCCAGACUAUCACUCGGGAAAAUGAAGAGUUGACUUUUGGUGGGUCUAGCAUUGGUAGCGGCUAUUCAAGGAAGGAAUCUAGAAGUGUAGAGAGUGACAAAGGGUCCACUGUAGAGAUAUUUGAACCAGACAAAGUUCCUUUUACUGCAAUUGAUCAAAGAUGUGCGUCUAAUUCCAGUGUGAUCACUACCUUAACAAGUGAAAGCAGUUCUUGCGAGAAUGUUGGGUCUGCAUUAGCAGCAGGUAAUAGUGAAGGCAAUGCUGG
rnacentral:misc_RNA from 1 species